CCUACGGGCGACAGCAGUGGGGAAUAUUGCGCAAUGGGCGCAAGCCUGAUGCAGCGACGCCGCGUGAGCGAAGAAGUCUUUCGGUAUGUAAAGCUCUAUCAGCAGGGAAGAGUAUGACGGUGCCUGACUAAGAUGCUCCGGCUAAAGCCGUGCCAGCAGCCGCGGUGAUACGUAUGGAGCAAGCGUUAUCCGGAAUUACUGGGUGUAAAGGGAGCGUAGACGGAGGUUCAAGUCUGAUGUGAAAGGCGGGGGCUCAACCCCUGGACUGCAUUUGAAACUGUAAAUCUUGAGUGCCGGAGAGGUAAGUGGAAUUCCUAGUGUAGCGGUGAAAUGCGUAGAUAUUAGGAGGAACACCAGUGGCGAAGGCGGCUUACUGGACGGUAACUGACGUUGAGGCGCGAAAGCGUGGGGAGCAAACAGGAUUAGAUACCCUAGUAGUC
rnacentral:rRNA from 1 species